rnacentral:tRNA from 1 species
GGACGGGUGGCCGAGCGGUUGAAGGCAGCGGUUUUGAAAGCCGCCAUGGGUGCAAUUCCCUCGUGGGUUCGAAUCCCACUCCGUCCG